rnacentral:rRNA from 1 species
UACGGGGGGGGCAAGCGUUGUUCGGAAUUACUGGGCGUAAAGCGUGCGCAGGCGGUUUUGUAAGACAGAGGUGAAAUCCCCGGGCUCAACCUGGGAACUGCCUUUGUGACUGCAAGGCUUGAGUGCGGCAGAGGGGGAUGGAAUUCCGCGUGUAGCAGUGAAAUGCGUAGAUAUGCGGAGGAACACCGAUGGCGAAGGCAAUCCCCUGGGCCUGCACUGACGCUCAUGCACGAAAGCGUGGGGAGCAAACAGG